GACGAACCGUGCGAACGUUGUUCGGAAUCACUGGGCUUAAAGGGCGCGUAGGCGGGCCACCAAGUCAGGGGUGAAAUCUUUCGGCUCAACCGGAAAAGUGCCUUUGAUACUGGUGGCCUCGAGGGAGGUAGGGGUCUGCGGAACUUCCGGUGGAGCGGUGAAAUGCGUAGAUAUCGGAAGGAACGCCGGUGGCGAAAGCGGCGGACUGGACCUCUUCUGACGCUGAGGCGCGAAAGCCAGGGGAGCAAACAGG
rnacentral:rRNA from 1 species